UACGUAGGGUGCAAGCGUUAAUCGGAAUUACUGGGCGUAAAGCGUGCGCAGGCGGUUCGUUAAGUUCGUUGUGAAAGCCCCGGGCUCAACCUGGGAAUGGCAAUGGAAACUGGCGAGCUUGAGUGUGGCAGAGGGGGGUGGAAUUCCGCGUGUAGCAGUGAAAUGCGUAGAGAUGCGGAGGAACACCGAUGGCGAAGGCAGCCCCCUGGGCCAACACUGACGCUCAGGCACGAAAGCGUGGGGAGCAAACAGG
rnacentral:rRNA from 1 species